rnacentral:rRNA from 1 species
UCGAGCGGCAGCGCGGGGGCACCCUGGCGGCGAGCGGCGAACGGGUGAGUAAUGUAUCGGAACGUACCCAGUCGUGGGGGAUAACUAUCCGAAAGGAUAGCUAAUACCGCAUACGUCCUGAGGGAGAAAGCGGGGGACCGUAAGGCCUCGCGCGAUUGGAGCGGCCGAUAUCGGAUUAGCUAGUUGGUGAGGUAAAGGCUCACCAAGGCGACGAUCCGUAGCUGGUCUGAGAGGACGACCAGCCACACUGGAACUGAGACACGGUCCAGACUCCUACGGGAGGCAGCAGUGGGGAAUUUUGGACAAUGGGGGCAACCCUGAUCCAGCCAUUCCGCGUGAGUGAAGAAGGCCUUCGGGUUGUAAAGCUCUUUCAGCAGGAACGAAACGGUGGUCCUUAAUACGGGCUACUAAUGACGGUACCUGAAGAAGAAGCACCGGCUAACUACGUGCCAGCAGCCGCGGUAAUACGUAGGGUGCGAGCGUUAAUCGGAAUUACUGGGCGUAAAGCGUGCGCAGGCGGUUCUAUAAGACAGAUGUGAAAUCCCCGGGCUUAACCUGGGAACUGCGUUUGUGACUGUAGGACUCGAGUGUGGCAGAGGGGGGUGGAAUUCCACGUGUAGCAGUGAAAUGCGUAGAGAUGUGGAGGAACACCGAUGGCGAAGGCAGCCCCCUGGGUCAACACUGACGCUCAUGCACGAAAGCGUGGGGAGCAAACAGGAUUAGAUACCCUGGUAGUCCACGCCCUAAACGAUGUCUACUAGUU